AUGAUUCCUAAGGUCAACUCACCGGAGUUGCUGUCCCAGUUCAGACCGAUAAGCUUAUAUAAUGUGCUCUACAAAAUCGCUACAAAAGUUCUUGCUAAUAGAUUGAAGGGAAUCCUUCCGUUGUUGAUCUCGGAG
rnacentral:rRNA from 1 species